GGCCGGGUGGCGCAAUGGUAGCGCGUUGGUUUUCGGUUCUUCUGUAUGAAGUGCAGCCUACCAAAGGUUUGCGGGUUCGAGUCCCGUCUCGGUCG
rnacentral:tRNA from 1 species